GCGACCCCMGGUCAGGCGGGACUACCCGCUGAGUUUAA
rnacentral:rRNA from 1 species